AGCGGCGAAAGGGAGAGGAAUAAGUAGAAAUCUACCCUCGGGACGGGGAUAGCGGUGGGAAACUGCCAGUAAUACCCGAUAACGUCUUUGGACCAAAGGUGUGAUUCCGCCUGAGGAUGAUUCUACUUCCUAUUAGCUAGUUGGCGGGGUAAUGGCCCACCAAGGCAACAAUGGGUACCAGGUGUGAAAGCAUGACCUGCCUCAUUGGGACUGAAACACUGCCCAAACACCUACGGGUGGCUGCAGUCAAAAAUCUUCGGCAAUGGACAAAAGUCUGACCAAGCGACGCCGCGUGCGGAAUGAAGGCCUUCGGGUUGUAAACCGCUGUCGAAGGGGAACAAAUGUAUGGGGGUUCUCCCCUGUAUUCGAGUGAUCCUAGGAGGAAGGAGAGGCUAAGCUCGUGCCAGCAGCCGCGGUAAGACGAGCUCUCCAAACGUUAUUCGGUAUCACUGGGCUUAAAGAGUUCAUAGGCGGUCUGGUAGGUGAGGUGUGAAAUCCCCCGGCUCAACCGGAGAACUGCGCUUCAAACCGCCAGAUUUGGGGGACACAGAGGUGGGCGGAACAUAUGGUGGAGCGGUGAAAUGCGUUGAUAUCAUCUGAAACACCGGUGGCGAAAGCGGCCCACUGGGUCUUUUCUGACUCUGAGGAACGAAAGCUAGGGUAGCAAACGGGAUUAUAUACCCCGGUAGUCCUACCCGUAAACGAUGAGCACUACC
rnacentral:rRNA from 1 species